rnacentral:misc_RNA from 1 species
GUGAAUCAUCAAAUCUUUGAACGCAAAUUGCACCCUCUUCGGAGAGUAUGCCUGUUUGUGGGUCGGCAUCAAUAAAAAUCGGUGUGUUUCUUCUUUGUGACGCUCCGGAGUUUGGGUCAUCUUAAUAUCCUCUAGGUUUUAAGAGGCUUAAAAUUGUCUUUUUUUGUGCAUUUUUGAUGUACAUAAAUUCUUUUUAUUAGUCGUCUGUCUUAAUGCUCUAUAUCCUAUUAGAUGCUACCAUAUCGUGGGGUUACGCGU